GAUGAAGAACGCAGCGAAAUGCGAUACGUAAUGUGAAUUGCAGAAUUCAGUGAAUCAUCGAGUCUUUGAACGCACAUUGCGCCCCCUGGUAUUCCGGGGGGCAUGCCUGUCCGAGCGUCAUUGCUGCCCUCAAGCACGGCUUGUGUGUUGGGCCUCCGUCCUCCUCCCGGGGGACGGGCCCGAAAGGCAGCGGCGGCACCGCGUCCGGUCCUCGAGCGAAUGGGGCUUCGUCACCCGCUCUUGUAGGCCCGGCCGGCGCUUGCCGACACAUCAAUCUUUUUUCCAGGUUGACCUCGGAUCAGGUAGGGAUACCCGCUGAACUUAAGCAUAUCAAUAAGCGGAGA
rnacentral:misc_RNA from 1 species